GACAGAGGGUGCAAACGUUGCUCGGAAUUACUGGGCGUAAAGGGCGUGUAGGCGGGAAGGCAAGUCGGGGCGUGAAAGCCCCAGGCUCAACCUGGGAACUGCACUCGAAACUGCCUUUCUUGAGUGCCGGAGAGGAAAGCGGAAUUCCUGGUGUAGAGGUGAAAUUCGUAGAUAUCAGGAGGAACACCAGUGGCGAAGGCGGCUUCUGGACGGAACUGACGCUGAGACGCGAAAGCGUGGGAAGCAAACAGG
rnacentral:rRNA from 1 species